CGAAUGCUAAUACCCCAUAUGCUUUUGAGUGAAAUGGAUUUUAUCCGCCUAGAGAGAAGCUCGCGGCUGAUUAGCUUGUUGGUAAGGUAAGAGCUUACCAAGGCGACGAUCAGUAUCUGGUUUGAGAGGACGAUCAGACACACUGGAACUGAGACACGGGUCCAGACUCCUACGGGAGGCAGCAGUGGGGAAUUUUCCGCAAUGGGCGAAAGCCUGACGGAGCAAUACCGCGUGAGGGAAGAAUGCCUAUGGGUUGUAAACCUCUUUUUUCAGGGAGGAAUAAAAUGACGUGUACCUGAAGAAUAAGCAUCGGCUAACUCCGUG
rnacentral:rRNA from 1 species